CAGUCGCCGCGGGAAUACGUAGGUCCCGAGCGUUAUCCGGAUUUAUUGGGCGUAAAGGGAGCGCAGGCGGUUUAGUAAGUCUGAAGUUAAAGGCAUUGGCUCAACCAAUGUAUGCUUUGGAAACUGUUAGACUUGAGUGCAGAAGGGGAGAGCGGAAUUCCAUGUGUAGCGGUGAAAUGCGUAGAUAUUGGGAGGAAUACCGGUGGCGAAGGCGACUUUCUGGACUAAAACUGACGCUGAGGCACGAAAGUGUGGGGAGCGAACAGGAUUAGAUACCCCGGUAGUCCCUGUCUCUUAUACA
rnacentral:rRNA from 1 species